rnacentral:rRNA from 1 species
GAUGAACGCUGGCGGCGUGCUUAACACAUGCAAGUCGAACGGAAAGGCCCAAGCUUGCUUGGGUACUCGAGUGGCGAACGGGUGAGUAACACGUGGGUGAUCUGCCCUGCACUUCGGGAUAAGCCUGGGAAACUGGGUCUAAUACCGGAUAGGACGAUGGUUUGGAUGCCAUUGUGGAAAGUUUUUUCGGUGUGGGAUGAGCUCGCGGCCUAUCAGCUUGUUGGUGGGGUAUGGCCUACCAAGGCGUCAACGGGUAGCCGGCCUGAGAGGGUGUACGGCCACAUUGGGACUGAGAUACGGCCCAGACUCCUACGGGAGGCAGCAGUGGGGAAUAUUGCACAAUGGGCGCAAGCCUGAUGCAGCGACGCCGCGUGGGGGAUGACGGCCUUCGGGUUGUAAACUCCUUUCGCUAGGGACGAAGCGUUUUUGUGACGGUACCUGGAGAAGAAGCACCGGCUAACUACGUG